CGGUGGGCUAGGCCGGGGGGCUGGCGGUCCCCUGUAACCUCAAACCCGCCAACGGAGGGGCCGAAGCCUGGAGAGAGGCUCCCUGAACUGGGAUGAGCCCCCAUUGUGGGGAGGAACUCCUGUCCCGCAGGGCCGGCGGUGGCCCUAGAGGCCUUUGCCCGGCGAACCCGGUCAGGCCCGGAAGGGAGCAGCCGUAGUCGGGACGCCCGGUGCUUGCGGGGGUGCAGGACGGAUCCCUCAAUGGGGACAACUCUUCCCAGGGAGGGGAGUCCAUCUCCAGGCACGCCCACCG
rnacentral:SRP_RNA from 1 species